rnacentral:rRNA from 1 species
AACGAACGCUGGCGGCAUGCCUAACACAUGCAAGUCGAACGAGAUCUUCGGAUCUAGUGGCGCACGGGUGCGUAACGCGUGGGAAUCUGCCCCUUGCUUCGGAAUAACAGUGAGAAAUUACUGCUAAUACCGGAUGAUGUCUUCGGACCAAAGAUUUAUCGGCAAGGGAUGAGCCCGCGUAGGAUUAGGUAGUUGGUGGGGUAAUGGCCUACCAAGCCGACGAUCCUUAGCUGGUCUGAGAGGAUGAUCAGCCACACUGGGACUGAGACACGGCCCAGACUCCUACGGGAGGCGGCAGUGGGGAAUAUUGGACAAUGGGCGAAAGCCUGAUCCAGCAAUGCCGCGUGAGUGAUGAAGGCCUUAGGGUUGUAAAGCUCUUUUACCAGGGAUGAUAAUGACAGUACCUGGAGAAUAAGCUCCGGCUAACUCCGUG